UUACGCUGUUAUCCCUAAGGUAAUUUAAUCUUUUAAUCAUUAAUAAUGGAUCAUAAAACUAAUAAUAAUAUUAAUUUUAAAGAAGAGUUUUAUUUAUCCUCUAAUCACCCCAAUUAAAUAAAUUUCAUAAAAACCAAAAAUUAAUUAAUAACUCAAUUAAUUAUUAAACUUAUUAAACUCUAUAGGGUCUUCUCGUCCCUUAAUAAUAUUUAAGUCUUUUUACUUAAAUUCUAAAUUCAAUUUCAAUUAAUAUAAAACAGUAUUUACCUCGUCCAACCAUUCAUACCAGCCUUCAAUUAAAAGACUAAUGAUUAUGCUACCUUUGCACAGUCAAAAUACUGCGGCCCUUCAAAAUACUUUCAGUGGGCAGGGUUAGAUCUCUUAAAUAUAUUCAAGAAACCAUGUUUUUGUUAAACAGGCG
rnacentral:rRNA from 1 species